rnacentral:rRNA from 1 species
AGGGGUCAUCCCGACUUACCAACCCGAUGCAAACUGCGAAUACCGGAGAAUGUUAUCACGGGA